ensembl:lncRNA
UUGGUUUUCCAUGUAACCCGAAAAAUAUUGGCCUCUCUCUCUCUUCCUCUUUUCUCUACACUUUCUUUGCCAUGAGACCGACCAAGUCCAGGACAGAGGCCUUUUGCCGUUCGGCUGCUUUUCCUGCAACACUCCACUCAAGCCGGCCCCUAGAUUAAGAGAUUCCUCCAAGACUGAAUCCGAGUCAUUUCCCGAGACCAAGUCAAGACUGUUGUUUUGCUUGAGACCCUGAUGGCUAAAAUAGAAAAUCAACACUACGGGACUUCGACUUCCUCCCUCCCAGACCACAAACCCCUGACCCUCAUUUAUCAGCAUGAAGAAGCCCUGGACAUUAACAGCGCCCACCUCUCUUUCUCUUUUUGCCGCACAGCCUAUGGGAUCCCAGUUUCCUGACCAGGGAUUGAAUCCCGGCCCUUGGCAAUGAAAGCGUGGAACCCUAACCACUGGACCGUCAAGGAAUUCCCAUAACAUCCAUAUUUCUGUUGCUGUUGUUUAGUCGCUUAGUCAUGUCUGACUCUUUGUGGCCCCAUGGACUGUAGCCCACCAGGUUCCUCUGUCCAUGGGAUUUCCCAGGCAAGAAUACUGGAGUGGGUUGCCAUUUCUUUCUCCAGGGGAUCUUGUCAACCUAGAGAUCGAACCCUUGUCUCCUGCAUUGGCAGGUGGAUUUUUUUUUUUUUUUUAACCACUGAACCAACAGGGAUGCCCCUUCCAUAUUUCUGCCAACAGACAAUUUGGGAUUUCUCUAGCAUGCACCUCAAAACUCUUCUAGUCUUGACCCAUCAAAGCCAUUUCUGCAUUUUUAGGUAUUUGCUCCAUCAGCAUCCUGCUUCA